UGAUGAGCACACACCAGUGGAGGACGAUGAGCCAAAGAAAAGCACCAGUUCAGCUUCUACUUCAGAAGAAGAAAAGAAGAAGAAGAAGAAGCGUAAUCAUUCGAAAGAGAGGUCCAA